rnacentral:sRNA from 1 species
GAGGCUUUCGACUGAGGGCUAGCGAGGGGAGCAGGGCUGGAGCCGGGCUGAAGCAGGGCCGCGGACCCCGCACGCUCCUGCGGGCCCCGCGGAGCCCUUGCGGCCGAGGCCUCGGCCGGCGCCAGCGGAGAGCUAGCCGCAUCUUCGGGGGCAGCCCGGCAGCUGCCGGCGGCGCGGCGAGAGAGCGGCUGACAGAGGGGAUGCGAGGUCCUCCAGUAGCCUGACCUGAGUGAGUUAGUGAUCCAGAGAAACCAGCAGGCCAACUUGGUCAGGAAGGUUCGGGAAGCUGUUGGAGCAGUGUGGGGAAUUUCCCACCAGGAUGAGUAUGAUUGGCUGUGAUUUUAGAUCGUAAAGCUGAAAAUUGAAAUCAUGAAAGUAGACAGGACUAAACUGAAGAAGACACCUACUGAGGCUCCUGCAGACUGCAGAGCCUUAAUAGACAAACUCAAAGUUUGUAAUGAUGAGCAACUUCUCUUGGAACUGCAGCAGAUCAAAACAUGGAACAUUGGAAAGUGCGAGUUAUAUCACUGGGUGGACCUGUUGGACCGCUUCGAUGGAAUACUGGCAGAUGCUGGACAGACAGUGGAGAAUAUGUCAUGGAUGCUCGUAUGUGAUAGGCCAGAAAGAGAGCAACUGAAAAUGCUUCUCUUGGCUGUGUUGAAUUUCACAGCCUUGCUCAUUGAGUACAGCUUUUCCCGGCAUCUGUACAGUUCCAUAGAGCAUUUGACAACUUUAUUGGCUUCCUCUGAUAUGCAAGUGGUGCUGGCAGUCCUUAAUCUCCUAUAUGUAUUUAGCAAAAGAUCAAACUACAUCACUCGUCUGGGAUCUGACAAGAGGACCCCGCUGCUAACUCGGCUACAACAUUUGGCAGAGAGCUGGGGUGGAAAGGAGAAUGGCUUUGGACUUGCAGAAUGUUGCAGAGACUUGCAUAUGAUGAAAUAUCCACCCAGUGCAACUACACUACACUUUGAAUUCUAUGCAGAUCCUGGGGCCGAGGUCAAAAUUGAGAAAAGGACAACUAGUAACACACUACAUUAUAUUCACAUAGAGCAACUUGACAAGAUUUCAGAAAGCCCUUCUGAAAUCAUGGAAUCUCUUACCAAAAUGUACAGCAUUCCUAAGGAUAAGCAGAUGCUGUUAUUUACACACAUACGACUGGCCCAUGGCUUUUCUAAUCACAGGAAGCGAUUGCAGGCAGUUCAGGCCAGACUGCAUGCAAUAUCUAUAUUAGUGUAUUCCAAUGCCUUGCAGGAAUCAGCAAACAGUAUCUUGUAUAAUGGCUUGAUAGAGGAGUUGGUAGAUGUCCUUCAGAUAACGGAUAAGCAGCUUAUGGAGAUUAAAGCAGCUUCUUUACGAACAUUAACAUCAAUUGUCCACUUGGAGAGAACUCCCAAACUCAGCAGUAUUAUUGACUGUACUGGAACUGCCUCCUACCAUGGAUUUUUGCCAGUCCUUGUAAGGAACUGUAUCCAGGCCAUGAUUGAUCCUUCCAUGGAUCCAUACCCUCACCAGUUUGCCACUGCUCUCUUCUCUUUUUUAUACCAUCUGGCCAGCUAUGAUGCUGGUGGUGAAGCCUUGGUCUCCUGUGGAAUGAUGGAAGCCUUAUUGAAGGUCAUAAAGUUUCUUGGCGAUGAACAGGACCAGAUAACAUUUGUCACCAGAGCCGUCAGAGUGGUUGACCUUAUCACCAACCUGGAUAUGGCAGCUUUUCAAUCCCAUAGUGGACUUUCUAUCUUCAUUUAUAGACUUGAGCAUGAAGUAGAUUUGUGCCGAAAAGAAUGUCCAUUUGUGAUCAAGCCAAAGAUCCAGAGACCCAAUACUACACAAGAAGGAGAGGAAAUGGAAACUGAUAUGGAUGGAGUCCAGUGUAUUCCACAACGAGCAGCACUUCUGAAAUCCAUGUUGAAUUUCCUCAAGAAGGCCAUCCAAGACCCUGCUUUCUCAGAUGGCAUACGACAUGUGAUGGAUGGUUCUCUGCCUACCUCCCUGAAACACAUCAUCAGCAAUGCAGAAUACUAUGGCCCAUCACUCUUCCUCCUAGCUACUGAAGUGGUGACUGUGUUUGUAUUUCAAGAACCAUCACUGCUCUCCUCACUCCAGGACAAUGGAUUGACAGAUGUCAUGCUGCAUGCACUGCUUAUCAAAGAUGUUCCUGCUACCCGUGAAGUCCUUGGCUCCCUCCCAAAUGUAUUCAGUGCACUCUGCUUGAAUGCCCGAGGUCUUCAGUCUUUUGUUCAGUGUCAGCCUUUUGAACGCCUCUUCAAAGUUCUUCUGUCUCCAGAUUACCUCCCAGCCAUGCGGAGGAGGAGAAGUUCUGAUCCCCUUGGGGAUACUGCAUCCAACCUGGGGAGUGCUGUCGAUGAGCUCAUGAGACAUCAGCCCACCCUUAAAACAGAUGCAACGACUGCCAUCAUCAAGUUACUUGAAGAAAUCUGUAAUCUUGGAAGGGACCCCAAAUACAUCUGUCAGAAGCCAUCAAUCCAGAAGGCAGAUGGCACUGCCACUGCUCCUCCCCCAAGGUCUAAUCAUGCCGCAGAAGAAGCCUCUAGUGAGGAUGAGGAGGAAGAGGAAGUACAGGCCAUGCAGAGCUUUAAUUCUACCCAGCAAAAUGAAACUGAGCCUAAUCAGCAGGUUGUUGGUACAGAGGAACGUAUUCCUAUUCCCCUCAUGGAUUACAUCCUUAAUGUGAUGAAAUUUGUGGAAUCUAUUCUGAGCAACAAUACAACAGAUGACCACUGCCAGGAAUUUGUGAAUCAGAAAGGACUGUUGCCUUUGGUUACCAUUUUGGGUCUUCCCAAUCUGCCCAUUGACUUUCCCACAUCUGCUGCCUGUCAGGCUGUUGCAGGUGUCUGCAAAUCCAUAUUGACACUGUCACAUGAACCCAAAGUCCUUCAAGAGGGUCUCCUUCAGUUGGACUCCAUCCUCUCCUCCCUGGAGCCCUUACACCGCCCCAUUGAAUCCCCUGGGGGCUCAGUGUUGUUGCGAGAACUGGCUUGCGCAGGCAAUGUUGCUGAUGCUACCCUCUCGGCCCAGGCCACACCUCUGCUGCAUGCACUCACUGCUGCCCAUGCCUACAUCAUGAUGUUUGUUCAUACUUGCAGAGUUGGACAGAGUGAAAUUCGUUCCAUCUCCGUAAACCAGUGGGGCUCUCAAUUGGGUCUGAGUGUUUUGAGCAAGCUGAGCCAGUUAUACUGUUCCCUGGUGUGGGAAAGCACUGUCCUCCUCUCUCUCUGUACCCCAAACAGCCUACCAUCUGGGUGUGAAUUUGGCCAGGCAGAUAUGCAGAAACUGGUUCCAAAGGAUGAGAAGGCAGGUACGACCCAGGGCGGAAAAAGAUCAGAUGGGGAACAGGAUGGAGCAGCUGGAAGUAUGGAUGCUUCUACCCAGGGCUUAUUAGAAGGCAUUGGGCUAGAUGGUGACACAUUGGCUCCCAUGGAGACAGAUGAACCUACUGCUUCAGACUCUAAGGGCAAAUCUAAAAUCACACCAGCAAUGGCUGCCAGAAUUAAGCAAAUCAAGCCUUUGUUAUCAGCUUCCUCCAGAUUAGGCCGAGCACUUGCUGAGCUAUUUGGACUUCUUGUUAAACUUUGUGUGGGAUCUCCUGUCCGCCAGAGAAGGAGCCAUCAUGCUGCCAGCACCACUACAGCACCGACACCUGCCGCGCGAUCAACAGCCUCAGCUCUCACUAAGCUCUUGACUAAGGGGUUAUCUUGGCAGCCCCCACCAUAUACACCUACUCCCCGAUUCAGGCUGACAUUCUUCAUCUGUUCAGUUGGUUUCACAUCCCCAAUGCUGUUUGAUGAGAGGAAGUAUCCCUACCACCUCAUGCUGCAAAAAUUUCUCUGCUCCGGAGGCCACAAUGCUCUUUUUGAAACUUUCAACUGGGCUCUGUCCAUGGGAGGUAAAGUUCCUGUUUCUGAGGGAUUGGAACACUCGGACUUGCCUGAUGGCACAGGAGAAUUCCUGGAUGCUUGGCUUAUGCUGGUGGAGAAGAUGGUGAAUCCCACCACGGUGCUUGAAUCUCCACAUUCACUGCCUGCCAAAUUGCCUGGAGGUGUCCAGAACUUUCCCCAAUUCAGUGCACUGCGCUUCCUUGUGGUAACUCAGAAAGCAGCCUUUACUUGCAUCAAAAACCUGUGGAACCGGAAACCCCUGAAGGUAUAUGGUGGACGAAUGGCUGAAUCCAUGCUGGCCAUUCUAUGCCACAUCCUCCGAGGAGAACCUGUGAUUCGAGAGAGACUAAGCAAGGAGAAGGAGGGGUCUCGAGGAGAAGAGGAUACAGGGCAAGAGGAAGGUGGCUCCCGCCGGGAACCUCAAGUCAACCAGCAACAACUGCAACAGCUCAUGGACAUGGGCUUCACAAGGGAACAUGCAAUGGAGGCACUGUUGAACACCAGCACCAUGGAGCAGGCCACAGAGUACCUUCUAACCCACCCUCCUCCAAUCAUGGGAGGAGUUGUUCGGGAUCUCAGCAUGUCUGAAGAGGACCAGAUGAUGAGAGCAAUUGCUAUGUCUCUGGGACAGGAUAUUCCAAUGGAUCAAAGGGCAGAGUCACCUGAGGAAGUUGCUUGCCGGAAGGAGGAAGAGGAACGGAAAGCUCGGGAAAAGCAGGAAGAGGAAGAGGCUAAAUGUCUAGAGAAGUUCCAGGAUGCUGACCCGUUGGAACAAGAUGAGCUCCACACUUUCACAGAUACUAUGUUGCCAGGCUGCUUCCACCUUCUUGAUGAGCUGCCAGACACAGUAUACCGUGUGUGUGACCUGAUCAUGACAGCAAUCAAACGUAAUGGAGCAGAUUAUCGUGACAUGAUUCUGAAGCAAGUAGUCAAUCAGGUGUGGGAAGCUGCUGAUGUAUUGAUCAAAGCUGCUCUUCCCCUGACAACAAGUGACACAAAAACCGUGUCAGAGUGGAUAAGUCAGAUGGCCACACUGCCCCAGGCCUCCAAUUUGGCUACUAGAAUCUUGCUUUUAACACUACUUUUUGAGGAGUUGAAGCUACCUUGUGCUUGGGUGGUUGAAUCGAGUGGCAUCCUUAAUGUCCUAAUCAAACUCUUGGAAGUGGUUCAGCCCUGCCUCCAGGCAGCCAAGGAGCAGAAGGAAGUCCAGACCCCAAAGUGGAUCACACCAGUGUUGCUCCUGAUUGAUUUCUAUGAAAAGACAGCCAUCUCCUCAAAAAGGAGAGCCCAGAUGACUAAGUACCUGCAAUCCAACAGCAACAACUGGCGCUGGUUUGAUGAUCGCUCUGGGCGUUGGUGUAGUUACAGUGCAAGCAACAAUAGCACUAUUGAUUCUGCCUGGAAAUCUGGAGAGACAAGCGUGCGAUUCACUGCAGGCCGAAGAAGAUACACGGUCCAAUUCACUACAAUGGUGCAGGGUACCUCGGCUGAAUAAAAAUUCAAAAAACAGCAAUGGACAGGAACUAGAGAAGACGCUGGAAGAAAGCAAAGAAAUGGAUAUC